GUUUUGUAAGCAGACCUGUGGCCAUGGAUGCCCACCAGGCAUGCAGGACACGGCCCCAGUGCUCAGCACAUCAGCACCCAGCAGCGGUGGAUCGGUGCUGCAGAGCCCUGGGGGCUGCGGCGUGAGAAAUGGACGGGAGCGGGAGACGAGCCCGUGGUUUUCAAACAACCUCUUUCAAAGCGGUUCAACAGAAGACAAGCUCUGUGCAGAAGAUCUAUUGUGAUCAAAGAGGCAGACUUCACAGCAGUGCUGGCAGCAGAGCCCAGAGUGACCUGGUACCGCGUGGUGACAAGCAGCUGGUGGCCCCGCAGGGCUGGCUGUUCCCGUGCCUGCCCCUGCCCCCUGCCCGCCGGGGGUGUCUGGAGCUGUGGCCUGCAGCUGACAGAGGGCAGCCGCUGCUGGGGGACUCGGGCUUUAUCUCCGUGCCAGGCGAUCCCAGCUGGGUGCCGAGCCAGCACUGGUCGGUUGAGACCCUUUGGUGGCUCUGACUGCCCACCCAGCGGGGCUGCCAGGCGGCCCACCACCUCCCCUGCAGAAGCUCCCCGCUGCGUGGGGGCGCGCAGCCCCGGGAGGGGGAGCGGGAUGGGCUCCGUGCCGUGCACCUGAGCCUGAUGAAGCAGGACAGUCAGAGCGCCUUGCAAAAGGAAAUGUGGUCACUGAAAUAGCGUUUGAUGGACAUUUGGGGGAAUCAGAGGCUUAUGUAGACUUCUUGCUGCUCUGCAGUGCAGGGAGCAGAGGUGGCAGCGGAUGCCUGCACUCCACAGCCAAUUCUCAGCUGCUUUGAGUGAUGUUUCUGGACCUGAGCAAAAGCAGUAUGCCUGCAGCACUUGUGACUGAAACCGUGACAUCUUCAGAAAUUGCAUUUCCAGGGGUAUUCCUGAGAGGAGCUGAGGGCAGGAGGCCAGCGGCCGGUCCUGCUGGCACACAGCCCGAGGGCAGCCAGCUGAGACCUUCUUUUUUCUUCUGCAAUACCUGCCUGUCAGAUCUGAAGUUCCCCUUUGCCGGUCAUGGUCGUGAGGAGUAGUGUGGCAGGGCUGACCUCAUCCCCUGAACUCCAGGGGAAAGCAAGGAAACUGAUUACUAAUGCAUGGCAGUGGGACAGCUUCAGAAGACUGGCUUUGUCUCCUGCAAGGAACCACCAAGGCUGCAGGAAGGACCCCGGCUGAUGUUACUUGAGCUUGGGUAAGGCUCUGGAUUGCUAAAUCAUCGCACAAUGUCUGAAUUCUCAUCUGAUAGCAGCUGCAGAAACAACCCCACCAAGUCCCCCAACCCACAGCUGUUUCUGUGUUAGACUAUGAGUGCAAGACAUGCUCUGUCUAAUGCAGUGUCCAGCUCUGCUGCCCACUGAAAUGACUAGCAAUGUUCCCGUUUGCUUCAAAGGUAUAGAGCGAGGCUUUUUGAUCCACACUUUGGGGUUUUAUUUCAAUUUUCAGAAAGCAGAGUCCACUUCAGCUAUUUCUUCUAAUGCAAGAAGAUUGAUGAAUCUUUGUUUUGAAUUUAUUUUUUUCUACUUUAAAGGGAAUUUUUUAGUAAUUUAGCUUUAAAAUGUGCUGUUUUGAAUAAUUUUUUGUUGUGGUCUUUAAAAAUAGCUUUUUUCCUUUAUUUUUUUCAAAUCACCACAUACAUAUGUUGUAUUGGUGUGCAAAGAAAAACCUAAAACACUGUUUUUCAUGAGUUGUUUUGGAAUUUAAUAAAAACACAUACAUCAAACA
ensembl:lncRNA